GUCAAUGAUGCUGCUAAACAUCCUACAAUGCACGUGACAGCCUCCCAAAACAGACUUACCUGGCCCCAAAUGUCAGUUGUACCCUGCAGUACAGCCAGCUCUAAAACUGUACCCUCGCCAACGAUGUUUGUUGCCAAAUAGAGAGUUGACAAACUUUGCACUAGCUAUCAAAAUGAUGUCCUUAACGUGGAGUUGGGAAGAGUUGCGUGGAAUUGGCGCUCACCAGCUGCUACGAGCCAGCCCCAGACAUUCACUCACGGCCCAUCGAUUCUCAGAUCUCAGGAAGAAGAAGCAAGCCAGCACACUUUCCCACAAAUGGUGAUGGCUUUCAGUGUCAUGCAAAGCCACGCUGGAG
rnacentral:lncRNA from 1 species